UUAUUUGAAAUAUUAGUUAUAAAAAAAGAAGAAGAAGAAAUCAGUCAUCAAUUUGUUCAGGAAGAACAAAAAAAUAAACGAUGUUGUUCAAAAAUGGCAGCUGUUUAUUAAGAAAAAAAGAAGGGCACCCAUCGUGUUGAACGGGCUUCAAACAAAUGACAAUUGAUAAGUGUGACAGGUGAUUGAAUGAUGAAAAACAAAGACUUGGAAUUAGUGGAACGAUGAAGGAAGGUAACAGUGGAAUUUCUCUCUGGAGAGGACCUACGUGCAUUUCUCGCUGUGGCCGCAGAAAAAAAGCGUUUGCCUGCGAUGAUCACCGAUUCCCUCGUGAAUCUCACCCUCGAGGUAUCUGCAUUCACGGUCCGCCUUAAGUACACAGGACUCGAAGUCCUUCUUCAGCCAGUUCGGAUCCGGCAGUGGAUCCCGGACUAUGUUGAUGUAAAUUGGCUGAGGCAGGUUGAACCUGUGAGGAAAAACAGCCCUAUGUCAGAUGUCUCGUGGGAAUCUGACUCACCUCACUUCCAGUUACAUUAAAAAUUGGAUAAUUGCAUUAAAUUCUCUUUAACAUAUCCAUGAAAAAAAAAAUUUUGUAUUUGAUGAAAUAUAAUGGAAAUGAACGA